UACGUAGGUGGCGAGCGUUGUCCGGAUUUACUGGGCGUAAAGGGAGCGCAGGCGGACUUUUAAGUGAGAUGUGAAAUACCCGGGCUCAACUUGGGUGCUGCAUUUCAAACUGGAAGUCUAGAGUGCAGGAGAGGAGAAUGGAAUUCCUAGUGUAGCGGUGAAAUGCGUAGAGAUUAGGAAGAACACCAGUGGUGAAGGCGAUUCUCUGGGCUGUAACUGACGCUGAGGCUCGAAAGCGUGGGGAGCAAACAGGAUUAGAUACCCCGGUA
rnacentral:rRNA from 1 species